AUGGAGUACCUGUUUGAGAAAAUGUCCUCGUCCGAUAAGGAUGCAAAGCCCAUCCAACUGCAUUUGUUAAAAACAAUCACGGAGGAUUUUUCAGAGAAGAUGAAAGUUGGUAGUGGUGGUUAUGGAGAAGUUUACAAGGGAGUGCUUAAUGGGGACGAAAUAGCUGUCAAGAAGCUUUUUCCCGUCCCUGGACUUAACGAUGAGGCAUUUGAAAAUGAAUUCCGUAACCUUAAGAAGGUUCAACAUGAAAAUAUCAUUCGUAUGAUUGGUUACUGCUAUGAGAUAGCACAUAAAGAUGUUGAGUACGAAGGAAAAUUAGUUUUCUCAGCAGUAAUAGAGAGAGCUCUCUGCUUUGAAUAUAUGAAGGGAGGAAGCCUGGCCAAGCAUAUUUCUGACAAGUCCUGCAUACUUGAUUGGCCAACGACGUACAAAAUAAUUCAUGGGACUUGCGAGGGCCUGCACUACCUUCAUAAGGGACAAGUACAGAAGAUUUUUCAUCUAGACUUAAAGCCGGAUAAUGUAUUGCUGGAUGAAAAUUUUGUGCCCAAAAUAGGAGAUUUUGGUUUGUCCAAGCUCUUUGGUACAUCAUAUACUCACCAAAUAAGUGCUAUGAAAGGAACGGUUGGGUUCAUGCCGCAAGAAUACAUACACAAUCGCAAGGUCUCACCAAAGAAUGACGUUUUCAGUCUUGGAGUCAUAAUUUUCCACAUGAUGGCGGGAGAAAAGGGAUACGGUGAUUAUUGGGAUGCGCGUCGUCGUCCAAAUUUUUCAAAACUAAUUCAACAAGAUUUUAUCGACAGUGUACAAGAAUACUGGAAAACAAAGAUGCAGGCAACCAAAGGUUAUAGAUGGGACGAAGCAGACCUCCUAGGGGUAACGAAAUGUAUUGACAUGGCAAUGCGUUGUGUGGAGGACGACCGAGACAAGCGACCUUACAUGACUGAAAUUAUCAGCGAGCUCAAGGAACUAGACUCUAAAGUCGGGGAGAUGUUAAAUAAAGAUCCAAAACCAACUAUACACCCGUUGAGAAACUGUGUCAAUGGUUUGGGAGCGUUGAAACAGAAUAAAAGUCCCAACAAUUUGGGAAAGGAUAUUGUGGUGGAUCCGUCCCUGGAACUCUGCUUCCCAUUUGAGCCAAACAAGGACAUACGGUGCUGCCUGCAGCUCAUCAACAAGGCGGCAUCCAGCCACAUUGCUUUUAAUAUAAACACCGAUGUAGAAAAGUAUCUUGCACAACCACACAAAGGGAUCAUUGCACCAUAUUCCAAAUGUUACAUCACCCUAACAUUGCGAGAAGAAGAGGUGGCAUUGCCGAAUAUGCAGUGCUUUGACAUGUUGGUUGUGCAGACCGUAAGAGUGAGCAAGCACUUCACGUCCGAUGAAAUAACUCAAGACUUCCUUCAAAACAUCAGCGCCAUGGAUGAGGUGAUAUGGCCGAUUCAUUAUGUUGGAUUGGACCAGUAA
rnacentral:rRNA from 1 species